rnacentral:rRNA from 1 species
CGCUGGCGGCGUGCCUAAUACAUGCAAGUCGAACGGUCUUUCUAUGGAAGCUUGCUUCCACUGAGAAGAUAGUGGCGAACGGGUGAGUAACACGUGGGUAACCUGCCCAUAAGAGGGGGAUAACAUCCGGAAACGGGUGCUAAUACCGCAUAGUUUUCUUGAUCGCAUGAUUGAGAAAGGAAAGACGGCCUUUGUGCUGUCGCUUAUGGAUGGACCCGCGGCGUAUUAGUUAGUUGGUGAGGUAACGGCUUACCAAGACGAUGAUACGUAGCCGACCUGAGAGGGUGAUCGGCCACAUUGGGACUGAGACACGGCCCAAACUCCUACGGGAGGCAGCAGUAGGGAAUCUUCCGCAAUGGACGAAAGUCUGACGGAGCAACGCCGCGUGAGUGAAGAAGGUUUUCGGAAUCGUAAAACUCUGUUGUCAGAGAAGAACAAGUUGGAGAGUAACUGCUCCAGCCUUGACGGUAUCUGACCAGAAAGCCACGGCUAACUACGUGCCAGCAGCUGC